rnacentral:rRNA from 1 species
CGUCUCCUACGGGGCGCAGCAGUGGGGAAUAUUGCGCAAUGGGGGAAACCCUGACGCAGCAACGCCGCGUGAGUGAAGAAGGCCUUCGGGUUGUAAAGCUCUUUAAUCAGGGACGAAGAAUGACGGUACCUGAAGAAUAAGCUCCGGCUAACUACGUGCCAGCAGCCGCGGUAAUACGUAGGGAGCAAGCGUUAUCCGGAUUUACUGGGUGUAAAGGGCGUGUAGGCGGUCCGUUAAGUCAGCGGUAAAAUUGCGGGGCUCAACCCCGUCGAGCCGUUGAAACUGGCAGACUUGAGUUGGCGAGG